rnacentral:misc_RNA from 1 species
UACGGAGGGUGCAAGCGUUGUCCGGAUUUAUUGGGUUUAAAGGGUGCGUAGGCGGCCUGUUAAGUCAGCGGUGAAAGCCCGGGGCUCAACCCCGGAACUGCCGUUGAUACUGGCGGGCUUGAGUAUGGACGAGGUUGGCGGAAUUGAGGGUGUAGCGGUGAAAUGCUUAGAUACCCUCAAGAACACCGAUUGCGUAGGCAGCUAACUAGGCCAUAACUGACGCUGAGGCACGAAAGCGUGGGGAGCGAACAGG